rnacentral:rRNA from 1 species
AUUGAACGCUGGCGGCAGGCUUAACACAUGCAAGUCGAGCGGGGGAGGUUGCUUCGGUAACUGACCUAGCGGCGGACGGGUGAGUAAUGCUUAGGAAUCUGCCUAUUAGUGGGGGACAACAUUCCGAAAGGGAUGCUAAUACCGCAUAAUGUCUACGGACCAAAGUGUGGGACCUUCGGGCCACAUGCUAUCGGAUGCGCCUACGUGGGAUUAGCUAGUUGGUGAGGUAAUGGCUCACCAAGGCGACGAUCCCUAGCUGGUUUGAGAGGAUGAUCAGCAACACUGGAACUGAGAAACGGUCCAGACGCCGACGGGAGGCAGCAGUGGGGAAUAUUGGACAAUGGGCGCAAGCCUGAUCCAGCCAUGCCGCGUGUGUGAAGAAGGCCUUCGGGUUGUAAAGCACUUUCAGUAGGGAGGAAGCGUUGUGUGUUAAUAGUACACAGCGUUGACGUUACCUACAGAAGAAGCACCGGCUAACUCUGUGCCAGCCGCCGCCGUAACAC